rnacentral:rRNA from 1 species
UACAGAGGGUGCGAGCGUUGUCCGGAAUCACUGGGCGUAAAGGGCGCGUAGGCGGCCUGAUAAGUAGGGGGUGAAAUCCUGCGGCUUAACCGCAGGGCUGCCUUCUAAACUGUCAGGCUCGAGCACAGUAGAGGCAGGUGGAAUUCCCGGUGUAGCGGUGGAAUGCGUAGAGAUCGGGAAGAACAUCAGUGGCGAAGGCGGCCUGCUGGGCUGUUGCUGGACGCUGAGGCGCGACAGCGUGGGGGAGCAAACAGG